rnacentral:lncRNA from 1 species
CUUUGUUCUCAUGUACAAUCAAAGGAGCACACAUGCAUGCCCAGCCCAACCUCUCUAUCUGCGUACACACGGUGCACCCCUGAAAACCAAGGAAAAGAAUGCUUAUGCGACGCUGAAGGAGCUGGCCGCCUUCUCGACGCCCUUCCUGGCGCCCUUGAACCACCUCUUGUCGCCGGCCUGCGCCUUGCAGAUGUAGAGCUUGCCGUCCGAGACGGUGGCCGUGAUGAGCUGGUGCUUGCCGCCCUCGUCGCCGUCCGCCGUCCUCGUCAGCACCGACACGCUGUAGUACUGCUUCCCGUCCACCACCGGCGCCGAGCUCUCCAGGAUGUUGGCUGUCGCCACCGCGUCGGUCUCGAACCCGCCCUGCACGCGCAAGCACAGGUAAAUAGCCGUCGCCGAAUGAAUCAGAGAUUAAUUAGAUGCAGCAUGUGAACUAGUAGAACUAGAACAAACCUCGGAGUCAGUCUUGCCGCUGUAGGCCUGCUUGCCGAGGAGGUAGUCGACCUGGGCGAGGAACUGCUCCGGGGAGCCGAACUCGGUGAUGGUCUUCUUGGUGGUGGGCUGGACCAUGACGGAGACGUUGCUGUUGGCGUCGAAGUUGUCCUCGUAGCGGAGGACCUGGCCGGGGAACUCGCGCUCCUUGCUGGGGUUCCACUUGGACGGGAUCAGCAGCUUGAACCCGUCGCCGCUGUAGGCGAUGAAGUCCGUGUUCGCCUUGGGCUUCCCGAACACGUUGGCUGCAACCAAGCAAGCAAGCGCGAUUGCAAUCAAGAUUCAAUAACCGACCGAGAUCCAUCAAGCUACCCAGGAGCUGAGACAUUAAGCGCGUGUUGUUACCUGCUUCUCCGUAGGCGGCGGCGGCGGGGCUCACCUUGGCGCCGACGGCGGCGACGCCGGCGAGGAGCGUGAGCGCGGCGCGGCGGGUGACCGCGGCGGCGUCACCGCUCUCGGCGGCGGCGUCCUGCCUCUGCGCCUUGCAGACGAGCUGGGCCCGCGGCACCUGGGGGCGCGCCGAGGCGGCGGCGGCGCCGAGGCGAGCGGUGGACUGGAGGAGGAAGCAGGAGGUGGACGCCAUGGCUGCCGCUCGUUGCUCGCUAGCUGGCUCCUGCUGCUGCUGCUACUAUCUUCCUCUAGAAGACUUGUGGAUGCACCGGACGCUACGAGUGAUAACGAGGGGAGGGACCGAGGGAGCGGUGGGGUCGGCACGGCGAGGCUUCGUUUGGUGUGCGGC